GCUCAUCGUGCUACAGAUGGUGAGAAUUUCAUCUGGGUAUUUAACGAAGUUUAACUGUUAGUGAAGUUGCUUCAUAUCUUUAUCUAUUUGUCUCUCAUGAUGGCCGCAUAUUAUUAUUGUUUUAUCUGUUUCGUAAUCUGAGACUACUUAGAUUCUAAAUUCUAACCUAGGGAUUCAGCUUCAGUAUUCAAGUGCUUUAAAUACAAAUUGUAGGCAAACUUUACCUUGCCGACCACUUAAUGAUGGUUUUCUAUCUAUGGCUUUGACACUUUAUAUGUUAGCUUGCAAAAUAUAUACCUGGGCUAAUUUCACGUUUGGGGAUUCUGUCU
rnacentral:misc_RNA from 1 species